rnacentral:rRNA from 1 species
GUAGGUGGCAAGCGUUGUCCGGGAAUUAUUGGGCGUAAAGCGCGCGCAGGCGGUUCUUUAAGUCUGAUGUGAAAGCCCACGGGCUCAACCGUGGAGGGUCAUUGGAAACUGGAGAACUUGAGUACAGAAGAGGAAAGCGGAAUUCCACGUGUAGCGGUGAAAUGCGUAGAGAUGUGGAGGAACACCAGUGGCGAAGGCGGCUUUCUGGUCUGUAACUGACGCUGAGGCGCGAAAGCGUGGGGAGCAAACGGGAUUAGAUACCCUGGUAGUCCACGCCGUAAACGAUGAGUGCUAAGUGUUAGGGGGUUUCCGCCCCUUAGUGCUGCAGCUAACGCAUUAAGCACUCCGCCUGGGGAGUACGGCCGCAAAGGCUGA